UAACAAGGAUUCCCCUAGUAACGGCGAGCGAAGCGGGAAGAGCUCAAAUUUGAAAGCUGGCGUCUUCGGCGUCCGCGUUGUAAUCUCGAGACGUGUUUUCCGUGCGGCUCUAUGGACAAGUCCCUUGGAACAGGGCAUCGUAGAGGGUGAAAAUCCCGUACUUGCCAUGGAAGUACCGUGCUUUGUGAUACACGCUCCAAGAGUCGAGUAGUUUGGGAUUGCUGCUCAAAGUGGGUGGUAGACUCCAUCUAAAGCUAAAUAUCGGGGAGAGACCGAUAGCGAACAAGUACCGUGAGGGAAAGAUGAAAAGCACUUUGGAAAGAGAGUUAAAAGUACGUGAAAUUGUCGAAAGGGGAGCACUUGAAGUCAGCCAUGCUGCUUGAGACUCAGCCUGGCUUUUGCUUGGUGUAUUUCUCGGUAGCAAGCCAGCAUUGGUUUGUGUCGUCGGAGAAGCGUAUGGGGAAUGUGGCAUCCUCGGAUGUGUUAUAGCCCUGUGCAGGAUACGACGACGUAGACCAAGGAACGCAGUGUGCCCUCUGGGCGGGUCUUCGGACACCUUCACACUUAGGAUGCUGGCGUAAU
rnacentral:rRNA from 1 species